GAUGAACGCUGGCGGCGUGCCUAAUACAUGCAAGUCGAACGAAGAUCUAGCUUGCUAGAUCUUAGUGGCGAACGGGUGAGUAAUACAUAAAUAAUCUGCCCAUAUGACUGGGAUAACUAUUGGAAACGAUAGCUAAUACCGGAUAGGUUGAUUGGAGGCAUCUCUGAUUAAUUAAAGUAGGAUUUCUACACAAAUGGAUGAGUUUAUGGCGCAUUAGUUAGUUGGUGGGGUAACGGCCUACCAAGACGAUGAUGCGUAGCCGACCUGAGAGGGUGACCGGCCCCAAUGGGACUGAGGCAGGGCACAGACACCUACGGAAGGCAGCAGUAGAGAAUUUUAGGCAAUGGACGCAAGCCUGACCGGGCAACGCCGCGUGAGUGAUUAAGGCCUUCGGGUUGUAAAGCUCUGUUGUAAGGGAAGAACAUUCAGGAUAGUAAAUGAUCUUGAACUGACGGUACCUUACCAGAAAGCCACGGCUAACUACGUGCCAGCCGCCGCGGUAA
rnacentral:rRNA from 1 species